CCUACGGGUGGCAGCAGUGAGGAAUAUUGGUCAAUGGCCGCAGGGCUGAACCAGCCAAGUCGCGUGAGGGAUGACGGUCCUAUGGAUUGUAAACCUCUUUUGUCAGGGAGCAAAGGGCGCCACGUGUGGCGUUUUGCGAGUACCUGAAGAAAAAGCAUCGGCUAACUCCGUGCCAGCAGCCGCGGUAAUACGGAGGAUGCGAGCGUUAUCCGGAUUUAUUGGGUUUAAAGGGUGCGCAGGCGGAAUGUCAAGUCAGCGGUAAAAUUUCGGGGCUCAACCCCGUCGUGCCGUUGAAACUGGGAGGCUUGAGUAUGUUUGAGGCAGGCGGAAUGCGUGGUGUAGCGGUGAAAUGCUUAGAUAUCACGCAGAACCCCGAUUGCGAAGGCAGCCUGCCAAGCCAUGACUGACGCUGAUGCACGAAAGCGUGGGGAUCAAACAGGAUUAGAUACCCGGGUAGUC
rnacentral:rRNA from 1 species